rnacentral:tRNA from 1 species
GGCGGCGUAGCCAAGCGGUUUAAGGCGAGGGAUUGCAAAUCCCUUAUUCUCCGGUUCGAAUCCGGACGCCGCCU